GGAAUAUUGGACAAUGGGUGCGAGCCUGAUCCAGCCAUGCCGCGUGCAGGAAGAAGGCGUUAUGCGUUGUAAACUGCUUUUGCCAGGGGAUAAAAUAACUGUGCGCAGUUGAUUGAAGGUACCUGGUGAAUAAGCCACGGCUAACUACGUGCCAGCAGCCGCGGUAAUACGUAGGUGGCAAGCGUUGUCCGGAUUUAUUGGGUUUAAAGGGUGCGUAGGCGGCCCUGUAAGUCAGUGGUGAAAUAUCUCAGCUUAACUGAGAGGGUGCCAUUGAUACUGCGGGGCUUGAGUACAGAUGAGGUAGGCGGAAUUGACGGUGUAGCGGUGAAAUGCAUAGAUAUCGUCAAGAACACCGAUAGCGAAGGCAGCUUACCAAGCUGUAACUGACGCUGAGGCACGAAA
rnacentral:rRNA from 1 species